AUAGAGACUCAGAGCUGCAUAUCAAUAAGCGGAGGAAAAGAAACUAACUAGGAUUCCCUUAGUAAUGGCGAGUGAAGCGGGAAGAGCUCAAAUUUGAAAUCUUCAAGGUUCUACCUUGACGAAUUGUAGUUUAAAGAAGCGUUUUCUGUUGGAGUUUUGGUAAAAGUUCUUUGGAAUAGGACAUCAUAGAGGGUGAGAAUCCCGUAUUUGACCAUUAUUUCCAGCUUUGUGAUACACUUUCAAAGAGUCGGAUUGUUUGGGAAUGCAGUCCAAAAUGGGUGGUAAAUUUCAUCUAAAGCUAAAUAUUGGCGAGAGACCGAUAGCGAACAAGUACCGUGAGGGAAAGAUGAAAAGAACUUUGAAAAGAGAGUUAAACAGUACGUGAAAUUGUCAAAAGGGAAGCGUUUGACACCAGUGUUGUUUUCUCGAAAAUCAAUUAAAAAAGGCUGGAUUUUGUGUUGUAUUGACUUUAUCAGCUUUCUGCACUCUUUUCUUGUCUUUUUUAAUGCACUUUUCGUUUAACAAGUCAACAUCAAUUUCUUUUGUUGUAAAAAGGGUCAUUGGAAGGUGGCUUUCUUUUCGGAGAAAGUGUUUAUAGCCUUUGACUUCUGCAAUCGGAGAGACUGAGGUCUGCAGCGUAGAUCCUUCGGGAUUAGAUUACAUUUGUGCUAAGUUGUAGCUUUUCAUAGACAACUUGUUGACUAUGUUUAGUCAUGCGGCUUACUCGCUUAUGCUAUUUUACCUACGCUUAGGAUGUUGACGAUCAGCUGAGCGCG
rnacentral:rRNA from 1 species